AAGUCGUAACAAGGUCAUCGUAGGUGAACCUGCGGUGGGAUCAUAACGAAUCUGCUGAUGGAGGGGAUGAUUAAUUUCUUCCCCUCCAACCUUGUGUGAAUUUGAAUGACUGAACAACAUCUAAUCAACUCUACAUUUAAAUCUUUAUUUUGACCAAAUUGUUAAACUAACAUGAUAUAAAACUAUCAGUGGUGGAUCACUUGGCUCUU
rnacentral:misc_RNA from 1 species